AGGGUGUAAACGCUGCAGACUUGGUGUUGGAAGUCCUUUGGGGGCAUUCAGUGCCGGAGAGAAGUUGUUAAGUCUGCUACUUGGGGAGUACGUCCGCAAGGAUGAAACUUAAAGGAAUCGGCGGGGGAGCACCGCAACGGGAGGAGCGUGCGGUUUAAUUGGAUUCAACACCGUAAAACUCACCAGGGAAGACUGUUACAUGAAAGCCGAGAUGAAGACUCUGCUAGAUUUUCAGAGAGGAGGUGCAUGGCGUCAGUGACU
rnacentral:rRNA from 1 species